UACGAAGGGGGGCUAGCGUUGCUCGGAAUCACUGGGCGUAAAGGGGUGCGUAGGCGGGUCUUUUAAGUCAGGGGGUGAAAUCCUGGAGCUCAACUCCAGAACUGCCUUUGAUACUGAAGAUCUUGAGUUCGGGAGAGGUGAGUGGAACUGCGAGUGUAGAGGUGAAAUUCGUAGAUAUUCGCAAGAACACCAGUGGCGAAGGCGGCUCACUGGCCCGAUACUGACGCUGAGGCACGAAAGCGUGGGGAGCAAACAGGGAUU
rnacentral:rRNA from 1 species